rnacentral:rRNA from 2 species
ACCUUAGGGCCUCUUGCCAUCGGAUGUGCCCAGAUGGGAUUAGCUAGUAGGUGGGGUAACGGCUCACCUAGGCGACGAUCCCUAGCUGGUCUGAGAGGAUGACCAGCCACACUGGAACUGAGACACGGUCCAGACUCCUACGGGAGGCAGCAGUGGGGAAUAUUGCACAAUGGGCGCAAGCCUGAUGCAGCCAUGCCGCGUGUAUGAAGAAGGCCUUCGGGUUGUAAAGUACUUUCAGCGGGGAGGAAGGGAGUAAAGUUAAUACCUUUGCUCAUUGACGUUACCCGCAGAAGAAGCACCGGCUAACUCCG